rnacentral:ncRNA from 2 species
CAACCAUCCAGAGCGGCCGAGAGAUCUGGCUCGACGACGCCGCAGCAACCCCCCGGGCCCGCCCGGGCGAGGGUGCUACCGCCAGGACCGAUGGAGG